GGGCUUGCUUCGGCAGCACAAAUACUAAAACUAGAAAGAUACAGUGAAGAUUAGCAUGGCCCCUAUACAAGAUGACACACAAAUUUGUGAAGUGUUCCAUGUUUUU
rnacentral:snRNA from 1 species